GAUGAACGCUGGCGGCGUGCCUAAUACAUGCAAGUCGAACGAAACUUCUUUAUCACCGAGUGCUUGCACUCACCGAUAAAGAGUUGAGUGGCGAACGGGUGAGUAACACGUGGGCAACCUGCCCAAAAGAGGGGGAUAACACUUGGAAACAGGUGCUAAUACCGCAUAACCAUAGUUACCGCAUGGUAACUAUGUAAAAGGUGGCUAUACUACCGCUUUUGGAUGGGCCCGCGGCGCAUUAGCUAGUUGGUAGGGUAAAGGCUUACCAAGGCAAUGAUGCGUAGCCGAAUUGAGAGGGUGAUCGGCCACAUUGGGACUGAGACACGGCCCAAACUCCUACGGGAGGCAGCAGUAGGGAAUCUUCCACAAUGGGCGAAAGCCUGAUGGAGCAACGCCGCGUGGGUGAAGAAGGUCUUCGGAUCGUAAAACCCUGUUGUUAGAGAAGAAAGUGCGUGAGAGUAACUGUUCACGUUUCGACGGUAUCUAACCAGAAAGCCACGGCUAACUACG
rnacentral:rRNA from 1 species